UUUCCGUAGGUGAGCCUGCGGAAGGAUCAUUAUUGUAUAACCGAGGUGCGAGGGCUGUCGCUGACCCGAAAGGUCGUGCACGCCCGAGUGCCCUCACACACAUCCAUCUCACCCCUAUGUGCACCACCGCGUGGGUCCCCCUUUGGCUUGUUCGGAGGGGGGCUUACGUUUUCACACAAACUUUGUAUGUAGUGUAGAAUGUAUUUUUUGUUUUUGCGAUCACGCAAUCAAUACAACUUUCAACAACGGAUCUCUUGGCUCUC
rnacentral:misc_RNA from 1 species